rnacentral:tRNA from 2 species
GCGGGUAUGGUUCAGUGGUAGAACCUCAGCCUUCCAAGCUGAUGGCGCGGGUUCGAUUCCCGCUACCCGCUCCA